AGUGAACGCUGGCGGCAGGCCUAACACAUGCAAGUCGAACGGCAGCACAGUGAAGCUUGCUCCAUGGGUGGCGAGUGGCGGACGGGUGGGGAAUACAUCGGAAUCUGCCCAGUCGUGGGGGGAUAACAUAGGGAAACUUAUGCUAAUACCGCAUACGACCUACGGGUGAAAGCGGGGGAUCGCAAGACCUCGCGCGAUUGGAUGAGCCGAUGUCCGAUUAGCUAGUUGGCGGGGUAAUGGCCCACCAAGGCGACGAUCGGUAGCUGGUCGGAGAGGAUGAGCGGCCACACUGGAACUGAGACACGGUCCAGACGCCUACGGGAGGCAGCAGUGGGGAAUAUUGGACAAUGGGCGCAAGCCUGAUCCAGCCAUGCCGCGUGGGUGAAGAAGGCCUUCGGGUUGUAAAGCCCUUUUGUCCGGAAAGAAACGCCUCGGAUUAAUACCCUGGGGUGAUGACGGUACCGGAAGAAUAAGCACCGGCUAACUUCGUGCCAGCCGCCGCAGUAAAAC
rnacentral:rRNA from 1 species